UUUUUUCUCAGAAAAUACGAAUUUUUCAGACAUGCACCAUGCACCAAUGCAAAAUAUACAUUCUGAAGUUUAAUUUGGUACCAAAAUCAUUUUUCGGAAACGCCAUUUACCCGGUCGCAUUUAUUUCUGAAAAUUGCAAUUUUCGGAAAAUCCAAAGGUCACGCACGUUUCAGGCCGACCGCCAUUUUGAAAUUUAUGAUAACACAACACCGAUACAAAAUAUCGUUAAAAAUCAAUAAAUCUGUUCAUUAAAAAAACAGGAAAACGAUUAAAAAUGAAAUGAAUGUUAAAUCAUAACAUUUGGUCAGCUAUGACAGAGAUAUACCUAGGCCCAUUUUGUGAUUGUGAUGCACACAGUACUAUCACAAAGUUAUAGACUGGACGUAUCAAGAAAACAAUCAAACCAUUAUUAAACAGCAUUAUGAUUGAAAUAAACCAUUUUGUCAAGACACCGGGGUUCAAAUAAAGUGAUUUGUUUAAUGUCUUUGUGCAUUCAAAUCAGUGUCAAUAAGACUGACAACUGGUACCCUAGCUUUGGAGAAAGUUGUGAAUGAUUCUACAGCGGUUGUCAAGUUCAUGACUCACUGUUGUAAGCUGGCCACUGAGAGAAGAUAAGCAAGUUAUAAACAUUUAGUUCGUGAUUGGCCAGAAAUUGGUGCCAGACUGUAUAAAUGCGGUUAGAUGAUGGUGAACUUAAGCACUUACAUACAGUAUUCAGCCAGUUCAGCAGCGACUUUUUCCGUUAACGUUAACCACACUACCAGUAGAAGUUGAAUUCAAAACUGACAUUUUUCAUUUCACUUUUAAUUAGUUCAAUGACACUCUUGGGUCUAGUAAAUAUGUAUCAUAGUUUUUAUGAGCAGCUUGAAAUGAAUAAAUGCAGGUGGAAAUAAUUCUUUAUCAAGAGUAAAACUAUUUAAAUUAAUGGUAGAUAAUUUUAGCAAGUCGUAGCAGUCUAAUAGUGAAAAAAUAUUCAACAGAAAAAUAUGAAAUCAGUAUUAUUUGAAAAUAUUAUAUUUUAUUUAUAAACUUGUUCUAUGUAUAAUAAAUGUAUCUACACUGUCUUGUUCUGUAGUAAUAUUUAAAUGAAUCUGUUACAGUGAUCAUGAAAAUGUAUGUGUAAGUGACAACUGAAAUUAUUUGAAAAUAAUGUAAAAACUUGAAAAAUAAAUUGCAUCAACCUGA
rnacentral:lncRNA from 1 species